CAGCAGCCGCGGUAACACCGAGGGUGCAAGCGUUAAUCGGAAUUACUGGGCGUAAAGCGCGCGUAGGUGGUUUGUUAAGUUGGAUGUGAAAGCCCCGGGCUCAACCUGGGAACUGCAUCCAAAACUGGCAAGCUAGAGUACGGUAGAGGGUGGUGGAAUUUCCUGUGUAGCGGUGAAAUGCGUAGAUAUAGGAAGGAACACCAGUGGCGAAGGCGACCACCUGGACUGAUACUGACACUGAGGUGCGAAAGCGUGGGGAGCAAACAGGAUUAGAUACCCCGGUAGUCCCUGUCUCUUAUAC
rnacentral:rRNA from 1 species